UCCGGGCGAGGGGGCCUGCCGGCUCGGACCCCCUUGAGCUUGGCAAGCGGAUGACCAGAGAGGAGUUGAUUACUGUUCAGCCAGUUGGGCACAAAGCGUGGGAGGAACCCAGGUCUCCUGCCUGCCCCAAGGCACAUUGGUGUGGGAGGGGGCUUCUGUGGACAUUGGUAGGGGUCACAGUCCGGAGCAGAAUUCAAGGGACAAGAUCUCCCCAGGGUUGCACUUGGGCCCUGAACUGCCCCCUCCUCACCGUGCGUUUUUCCCACUCUGAGCCUUCCUCCUCCCCCUCUUUUGGACCCCUCCCCCAUCUCAGUCCCCUUGCUGCCACUGAGCUGCGCCGAGGAGAAUCUGUCCUUCCUACGCUAUGCUAGCACGGAAGUCUCAAAACUUCCCGUGGACCCACCCCUACUAAGGCACCUCCCUGAGCCCGUUGCUCCCUCAGAGACUCCACACCGACGUCGCCACUAAAAGCUGUUGCAAACUGUCCUUCAGGAGGGGCACAGACACCUGGAGACCCACAGCUGGGUGCUGGCAGAGGGGCAGGCACUCAGCCUUCCCCAGGUGCAGCCUCCCAUUUGAAACGUGAAAUGCAAGCUAUCUCUCUGUAUUUUUCUAUCUUCUAUGUUGUUCUAGAAUGUUGCUUUCGUGCGUGUUACUGUGGGGACCUUUCCUCGUAAAUGCAGAGAUGGUUUCUGAAUUUCAAAUGAACAUUAAUCAUAUACAUUCCUCUCCCGAUACUUAUUUUUUUUCCUUUGUAAUCAGAAUUUAAAAGGGAAGAUAACUCUAAAAAGACAGAACUCCCACAUCGGCAGCUCCUGCCAAAUCAGCAGCAGCAGCCAGCCUCUCAGUCCCAGGGCCGCGCUGGAACUGCCUCAGCUCUCAAAUUAGCAAAAGUGGUGUCGCCUGUACUUCUGUGUCCUCACUUAUAAUGAACCUUGGAGAGAAGCCGAGAGACCCAGGGAGGGGAAGAGACUUGUCCUGCCCGGGUCGCCCAGGGAGCUUCCUAGGUCAGUGAACUUCGUGUGUUCCCUCAGUUCAGUCUAGUAUAACAUGGCUGAGAAGGAUCCAGGAAUCUGGGCAUGGUGGGGACAGGGAAGGGGAAGCUGGUCAGUACCUUCAGUGUCAGGCCUGAGAGCCUGACGAGACCCUGCAGGACAGGGCUGAAGGCAGCUGAGAGUGUUCAGCUCAGGUGAGGGAAGGCCUCCAAGCCAUAGGCUCCAGGCAACAGAAAAGGUCCAGACAGCAGAUGUCUAGGGCAUGCUCCCAGCUCUCUCAAGUCCCUGGCACUGGGCCUGUCCACACUGAGAGACCAGAACACAGGUGGGCCUCAUGUUAUACAAGCCCACUCUGUACGAUUGCUGACCCUAAGCCCUCACGGUUUAUAUGUACAUCGGGAAAUGAUGAGGUACAGAGAGGGAAGGAACUUGCUCAGGGUCACAGGACAUGGGGUGGAAUGGUAAGAUGUGAAGCAGGAGACCUCAUGGGACAAGCCCUCCCAUCCAGUCUCCCCUGGUACCUUCAAUGACCUCCCUCCAGCCCCCAAGAGCACAGACUCGUGCUAGCCCUGCUCUCCCCCAGGCCCAGCACAUUGGCCAGAAAGGAUGUGCAGAGUUGGCAGUCUUAGAAACAGGGUCAUCUGCCUUGCUCCACCUGUCCCUGGGAUUAAAAGUGUCAGGGAAGCCUCAGAGGCGACACCACUGGGCAAGAGUGACAGAGAAGUCUUGUGAGCAAGGUCCAGGGAAGCUUUCUGGCCCAAAUUUCACCACAUAAUGGGCAUCCUAGGGUGACCCCAAAAAGAGAUGUCCAUGGCACUCCCUAACCUGCCUCAUCACAGGCCUCCCCGCCCAUUCCUAGGAAAGGGCAGUGAUCUCAGCUGGAGUCAGGGAGUCAGAAGAGGGGAACACCUUUGCAUUUCUGCUAGGAUGCUCCCCUUGUUUCCCAAUGCAAAACCAAAGACAAGAGAAAGGGAUUUUACUAAAAUGACGCUGAAGCCAGGGAUGAGGCUGAGUUGAGGCAGGAUCAGCCCUCCAAAUUGAGUCUGUGGCUGCCUUCCCUUUUAAAAUCUCAGUUCCCCUUCCACCGCAUCUGUCCUCUUGGAUUGGCCUUGUAAACAGCUUUCUUCUGUCUGUCGGAAUCCACCUUUCUCACUCUCUUCCUGUCUCUGUCUCUUGGUCUCUGUUUCCUUCUGUCUUUGUAUCUGUCUUUCCCUCUUUCCCCCUCUCUCCCUGUCUCUCCAUUUCUUCCUGUGUCUCCGUCUCUUUCUUCCUCUCCAUCUCUCUCUGCUAACAUGGACCUCUAUCCUCACACUGCCAGCUCCUUGUUCAGCCCACCGUGGUUCUGCUUCCAUCAACUGCUUCCUGCAUGCCCUCUGGAGGUUUUCUGUGGUUUAAAGAAUUAAGGAAAGCUUUGCUAUUGCUAUUGGAGCCCGUGGUUUUAAAAAAUAUAUAUAUAUAUAUAUAGAAAUGGCUGCACAAAAGCCCCUUCCCAUCCCUAGGGCGACCGGAAAGCCACACUGGCUGCCGGCUCAGAGGGGGCGCACAGUUUCGAGUCACUGUCUUUCUCCCAUUCUGCAUUCCCAUUGCGGAGACCUUCUUUUCUUUUUUAUUAUUGCAUUCCUGUCCCUGACCACUGAGAAGGUAGGUAUCCCCAGCUCAGCUGCGCGCUGCUUCCUCCCAUCUCCAGAUAAGCCCCGCCACUCUGCUUGGUUUGAAUGUGGUUUUCUUUCUCUCUCUUUCUCUCAGUCUCACUCUGGUUGGUUUUAUUCAUCUCCCCCCCCCCACCCCUUUCUUUCUUUCUUUUCCUGACUUCUCAUUUGUAACUUGCAUUUUCUCCAAAUGAGCUACAAAGCUGUGUUUCCUGGUUUGUCCUUUGGUUUCCUUGACUUUCCCCCAACGACGUUUCUGGUUCAUUCUUCCCUCCUUUCCACUUUCCUGCCCCUCCUCCUCUUUCUCUCUACCCUUCCCCCGUUCCCCUUCAAGCCCUCUCUUUCUCUCAUUUUGUUGUCCGAGUGCAUUUCUGUGUGGUUUAGCGGUCCAAGGUCGUGUUCCCUUCCUGAACGGUAUGCUACGGUUGAGCCGAUUUCAUUUCUGUUUCCUGAGCCCCUCACACCUGCCAGCCCCUGGGCUUUGGUUACCCCGCUGGCCUUCGGAGGGCCCACUUGGGCAAUCUCAAUGGCAGAUGGGCCUCUAGGCCUCCAGAGCCUGGAGGAAGUCUGGCUGAGGUUGGGCAUGAGGAAGGAGCCCCGUCCCACCCCCUUGGGCUGACUGGGCCAAGCCGAGCUUUGAGCUUCCAUGGGUCCUUCCCUGGCAGGAGGAUAGAGCUUAGGAUCCCCUCAGCGGGGCUCUGGGACAGCAGCUGGCAUCAGGCCAAACGUGUGAAUCUUUUGGAAGUAAUGAUAGUUUAACUGAAGGAAGUGGGCUGGCCAGGAGCAAGUGCUGCACUUAGCAAAGUCUGAGGGACAAUGUGGGGGGUGAAAAGGACUCUCAGCUCACCCACCACUGCCUGGGGCUCAGGCCUCUGAACUCUCCCCUAUGACCCAACCCAGGCAGGGGCUCCCUCAAUCCCUGGGUAGACCUUCCUAUCUUCUGGAUUUGAGCAGCUUAAUGUGGUCCCUCAGUACAAAAUGAGCAAGAAGGGACAGUCAGCUGGGGCCAGGCCUCCCAGGGUAUUGUGGCAGAGCCAGGCCCAAGUCCUGAGAUGUGUGACGCCCAGCCCAGUGCUCAUUCGGCCACAUUGAGGGUAUCAGAGUCAGGAGUAGACCCUCAGGGACCCCAUUUUCCCACCCCUGCCCCUUUAAACUGCUUUCUGUCCUGUCUGAAGUUUGGCAGACCAAUCCUCCCGAGGCUCAGUGGGCCAGCUAUACUGCCUCCCCUGCCCCAGUGUUGACCCCAGAGGCAGGUCCUGGGGCGUUCACCUACUCAGAACAUUCUCCUCAGCCUAGGUGGUGCUGGGAGGGCAGGCAAGGAAGUCGUUCCUCAGGGAGGGAGAUAGUGCUGUUGGUCUGACAGGGGAGACUAUCCCAGCCUGAGGUCAGAGUUGAGGCCCCGCCCUUAAGGAGUGCCUGAGACAUUCAGGGAACCAGAAGUGAGAGGCUUGAAUGCUGAGCUGGAGGGAGCUAGUGGUCUGAGCCCUGACAAAUGCUUACUUGUUUUUGUCCUUCAGAGUAUUGGGAUCUGGUGAGCACACCACUUGCCACUCUCUUCUGCUGUCUUUACCCCUUGACCCUCAAAAAUGUUUUACAAGAGUGAAAGGAAAAGAUCAGGUAGCAAGUGGCACCCAGGAGCGUAGGGGCUCCUGGGAGCAGGGCUGAGGCAGGCGAGGUUCUCCUUCACUUAUUCACUCCCUCAUUCAUGCACAGGCUAACAAGCGCUUGCUGAGCACCGCCUCUGUGCCAGGCUACCUGGGUGUCCCUGCCAGGAGAGAGGCAGGCAGGCCUGGGUCCACGGCCCUCACAUCCCAGGCUGGAGGACCAACCAAGAUCACUCAGCAUGAUGAGAGGGGAAAGCUCAGGCGUAGAAGAUGGGCACCCCUGCUUGUCGCAGUAGCUCCAGCCCUAGCAUAGGUCUUGGCCCAGAGUCCAUAUUGAAUGAAGGAAUGCAGAGUUCUGUGGGAUCACAGAGGAGCACACCUGACUCGGCCUGGGGGUCAGGAGAGGCUUUCUGGAGGCGGCAACCUCUGAGCCGAGGGUAAAGACACAACAGGCAUCAGCCAGGCAGUGAGUUGGGAUUUGCUUCCAGGUCCUGGUUCCCAGUUUUAGCACUCUGCCCACUUGCCUUGCUGCUUCCCCUAACCAAAGGCUUCUUGGAGGAGGGAUGCAGUGACUCCUUGGGUUAUGGGUUACUAUGCAUAGCCUCCUGAGGCACCCACUUAUUAACCUAGUUCUCUUUACAAUCUUUGACCACCCAGGGCUAAGGCAACCCAGGCAAGAGGAGUGGGAGUCACAAAGAAAGAGCAUGUUUCCUGGAGGAGGUGUUUGGAGGUCUCUGGCCACCACAGUCCUGUCCAGCUGUGAAAUCUCAUGGUUUCUAGGUUUGGCUCUUCCCUUAAUUCCUGGGACGAAUGAGACCCAGCCAAGCUGAGGACAAGGCUUGCCCUCUGGCAGGCUCAUGGUGAUCCCUUCUUGAGAGCUCCUGUAUGGAUGGGUGGAGAGGGACGUGAAACUGGCUCUAGGAGCCUCCCUCCUUGUCCCUCAGGGAAGGCUCUAUCUGCCACCCUACCCAGAAGCACCUUCCUUCCAUCCUCUGCCAUCCUGACACUUGGGGGAUACUCCAUAGGGCCUUCCUGCAUUGCUUUGACCCUGUUGGACUGUGAAGGGACCGCAAGUCAGUUGUACUCUGAAAAGAACUUCCAACCCCGACACAGGCCUAUCCAGCAAAGACCCAAUGUAUUCCCAUUUUACCAAUGGGGAAACUGAGGCCCCCAGAGUUAGAUCACCUUGAUAAGGUCCCACAGCAAACUGGCAGCAGGACUGAUUCCAGGGUGUUCCAUUUUGCCCAUCACUAUCAUCUUGGGCUGUGGUAGGCCAGUUGGCUUGGCAAGGAGGUGAGAGGGAAGUGAGGAAGUGCUUGGACAUCAAGACAUGCCAGGCAGGGAGUGUCCAGGCCAGCACAGGGGAUCUGGGCCCAGGGCUUGGACCUGAAUGGUUAGAGGUAGCAAUAUAGUGGGAAUGAGUAUCCUUUUUGUUGAACUGACCCUUUUUCUUCCUAACACUCCCACCCUACUUCCAGCCCAAGACCGUAGGAAAUAGAGACAGUUCUGUAGGGCCAAUGGGAAGGAACCUCAUUGACCCUGGUCUUCCUCUUCCAUUACCAGGCCCUUCUCUGAAUCAGAAGUGGCUGACUCAGAUCCAGAUUCUGGCUUGGAGCCAAGAUUUGCAUCCAGGUCCUUGUUCCCAACUUUAGUACUCUGCUCACUUGCCUGACUGCCUCCCCUGACCAAAGGAGCAGGCAGAGUCUUCUUGGAGGAGGGACGUAGCAACUCCUUGGGUUAUGGGUUACUAUGUGUUAGGUCCUGAGGCGCCCACUCACCCACCUAGUUCCCUGCACACUCUUUGACAACCGAGGAAUAAGGCAGAAACUGGACAUUUGAAGAGCCUGGUGACUUCUUUCUCAUUUGCCUCUUCUGAAGGAAAAAGGGUGCCAGCUAGUUUUGCCCUCUCAUCCAAAAAGCGUUCCAAAGGCUGGGGUCUGGACGCAGGCCCUUUUCUGGGACUCCUGGGUUUGGCCCUGGUCCUCGUAACAGUGUUUCUUCCUCCCACAGCAAACGGUAUUGAGACCCUAGUAGGUGGCAAAUUCUGUGAUAAAAACUGAGGUUAGAGCUGAAUCCGAACCAGAUCUGCACUGGAGGAGGUCAAAGUCAAGUUGGAUGGGGGAGAUGACAAGUGCAAUCAACUGUUACCAGAUAGAGACCCACAGACAGGAGGGGCCAGUCUGUGGAGGGAGGGGGAUGGGAGAGGGUGCUGGGGGCGGGAGGAUGCAGAGAAUUCUGGCAUAUUUGACCCGGAGGAGACAUUGGGAAGCAAAGCCCCACCCUCUCAUUUUGUGAAUGGGGAAACUGAGGCCCAGAACGAAGAUGUGACUUGGUCAGCAUCAUUCGGUGAGGUAGUGGCAGGCUCAGACUCCUGGUUCCCGACCAGGGCCCUUCUGACGGUACCUGGUGCCCUUUCUGGUUUUCUAUAUCCCAAUCCUUGUGUCCUAACUCUGCUUUUGGAAAAACACUUGAUAUCACUAUCCCAUGGUCACCCAAGAGGUGCCCGCUCAGGCCCAAGGAGCCGGGCGCUGCCAGUCCUUCCUCCAGAGGCGGCGUGGCCUCCUCUCAGGCCUAGAAUGGGGUGGUUGCGUUUUUCUCUCUCUCUCUCUAUCUCUCUUGCAUUUUUGUGAAUCUAAUGAUGAACUUAUGCUACCACACUUUUCCCUUCUUUUACACACCUUACCUACUAAAGGAGGAAGUGCCACUUUAUUGGUAAGUGGACGUUAACCAAGAGGGAAUUAAAAAUCAGAACUUUAAAAAAAAAAAGAAAAAAAGAAAAAGAAAAGAGAGAAACAGAAAGACAGUCGGGUGCUACUGACAGCUCCACAGCUCUCUGCAGGGCCGGAAAACAAAGAAAAAUGUUAACAGAAAAAUGUCAGUUCCCCAGGAGAUCAGACAUUGUUUUUUGAUUUCGGUAUCUAAUGACAUUUGUGGAUUUUGUUUUUGAUUUCUGUUUUUCCUCCCUUUCUUCGGUUCAGUUUUGAGUUCAGUUUGUCCCACCCCGCCCCACCCCCAUCUGUGUGCCGUGUGCCCCUCCAUCCCCUCGACCACCCCAUGCGCUGGGGGGCCAGGCCUGGCGGGCUGGCCCUGGCCCGACCUCCCGGCGCCCGCCCCUCUUUUCUCUGUGCCGGGAAUCGUUCGUCCCAUCGGGGAUGACGCAGCCCCGGUGCCCAUCCUGGUGCCCCCUCCCUUCUAACCACCCCCCCUCCCCCCACCGCUCCGUCCCUCUUGUGUUUUGCAUGCUGAGAAACUUGCAUGAAGCUGCACUGUUGAGGCCAGAAGGUGGACACUCAGGAGAGGCAGAGGCAGGGCAGGCGGGAACGUGUGUGCGAUGCUCCGGGACUGGCAGCCUCCGCCGGGGCCCGGUGAAAGCCCCUUCUCCUUCUCUCCCCCCACCCCACCCGCCCGUUCUGUCACCCUCAAUCUCUGUUCCUAUUCUUGCUCUUGUCUGUCCUCUCUCUGCCUCUCUUUUUUUCCUCUAUCUCCCUGUCUCCUUCUUUCUGCCUAACGUCUCCCUGGCUCCACUGGCGUCUCUCUCCUCUCCCUGCCUCUCUCUCUCUCUGUGUGUCUCUGCGCACCUUUCUCUUCUCUCGGAUUCCCAAUCUCCUCUGGUCUCUGGAUCUCUAUUUCCACCUCUCUCGGCUUCUGUCUGUCCAACUCUCCCUGUCUCUCCGUCAUUCUCUUCGUCGCCCUCUCCACUCCCUCCGUGCCCUCUCUGCCUCUCUCCC